ensembl:snRNA U6 U6 spliceosomal RNA
GUGCUUGCUUUGGCAGCACAUAUGCUAAAAUUGGAAUGAUACAGAAAAUAUUAGCAUAGCCCCUGUGCAAGGAUGACAUACAAAUUCAUGAAGAGUCCAUAUUUAAA